AGAAAUGAAGUCCAAAAGAGUCAACUGAAAGAGAAAUUGCAUAGCUUUCAUGGUGAUGAUGUUGGUGAGAACGCCGUUGAGAUUGGCGAGAGUGACAGGGGACCGUCCAUGCAAGAGGAGAGGAGAUACGAAUUUGCUGAGCAGCAGUAAAAUAAUGAAGGUUGCAUAGAGAUGCGUGAUUGGGUCUUAAGAUCUGAGAACAGAAAAGAGAAAGAGGCUGGGGUUCCUGUAACCCGACCUCUUCUUCUGUGCAGAGAAUUCAGAUUUUACAGAAAAAGAAGAAGGCUCGGGGAAC
rnacentral:misc_RNA from 1 species